GAAUGCCAUGAGGUAUCUGAUGCUUGGUCUAUUUCAAUGGCCUUGUUUCUCGUUAGAUUGGCAGAGAGCGAGAAGGAAACGGGUUUUUUGCGACACUGGCUGCUCCCAUACCAGGAGCUUCCUGUUACUAUACCCCCGUUUACAUUC
rfam:Triticum aestivum genome assembly, contig: Triticum_aestivum_CS42_TGACv1_scaffold_407116_5BL